rnacentral:rRNA from 1 species
GAUGAACGCUAGCUACAGGCUUAACACAUGCAAGUCGAGGGGAAACGACAUCGAAAGCUUGCUUUUGAUGGGCGUCGACCGGCGCACGGGUGAGUAACGCGUAUCCAACCUGCCCAUCACUUGGGGAUAACCUUGCGAAAGUAAGACUAAUACCCAAUGAUAUCUCUAGAAGACAUCUGAAAGAGAUUAAAGAUUUAUCGGUGAUGGAUGGGGAUGCGUCUGAUUAGCUUGUUGGCGGGGUAACGGCCCACCAAGGCAACGAUCAGUAGGGGUUCUGAGAGGAAGGUCCCCCACAUUGGAACUGAGACACGGUCCAAACUCCUACGGGAGGCAGCAGUGAGGAAUAUUGGUCAAUGGGCGAGAGCCUGAACCAGCCAAGUAGCGUGCAGGAAGACGGCCCUAUGGGUUGUAAACUGCUUUAUAAGGGAAUAAAGUGAGAGUCGUGACUCUUUUUGUAUGUACCUUAUGAAUAAGGACCGGCUAAUUCCGUG